UACGGGGGGGGCAAGCGUUGUUCGGAAUUACUGGGCGUAAAGGGUUCGUAGGUGGCCGACUAAGUCAGACGUGAAAUCCCUCAGCUCAACUGGGGAACUGCGUCUGAGACUGGCCGGCUUGAGUGCAGGAGAGGAACGCGGAAUUCCAGGUGUAGCGGUGAAAUGCGUAGAUAUCUGGAGGAACACCGGUGGCGAAGGCGGCGUUCUGGACUGCAACUGACACUGAGAAACGAAAGCCAGGGGAGCAAACGGG
rnacentral:rRNA from 1 species